GACGAACGCUGGCGGCGUGCUUAACACAUGCAAGUCGAACGGAAAGGCCCCAGCUUGCUGGGGUACUCGAGUGGCGAACGGGUGAGUAACACGUGGGUGAUCUGCCCUGCACUCUGGGAUAAGCCUGGGAAACUGGGUCUAAUACCGGAUAGGACCGUGCUUUAGUGUGUGCGGUGGAAAGUUUUUCGGUGCAGGAUGAGCCCGCGGCCUAUCAGCUUGUUGGUGGGGUAAUGGCCUACCAAGGCGGCGACGGGUAGCCGGCCUGAGAGGGUGUACGGCCACAUUGGGACUGAGACACGGCCCAGACUCCUACGGGAGGCAGCAGUGGGGAAUAUUGCACAAUGGGCGCAAGCCUGAUGCAGCGACGCCGCGUGGGGGAUGACGGCCUUCGGGUUGUAAACCACUGUCGGCAGGGACGAAGCUUUUGUGACGGUACCUGAAGAAGAAGCACCGGCUAACUACGUG
rnacentral:rRNA from 1 species